rnacentral:rRNA from 1 species
GACGAACCGUGCGAACGUUAAUCGGAAUUACUGGGCGUAAAGCGCACGUAGGCGGCUUGGUAUGUCGGGUGUGAAAUCCCCGGGCUCAACCUGGGAACUGCAUCCGAAACUGCCUUGCUAGAGUAUGGGAGAGGGAAGUGGAAUUUCCGGUGUAGCGGUGAAAUGCGUAGAUAUCGGAAGGAACAUCAGUGGCGAAGGCGACUUCCUGGACCAAUACUGACGCUCAGGUGCGAAAGCGUGGGGAGCAAACAGG